AAUACCGUAUAGUAUGCGCCAUGAAAUUUUGUUUACAUAGGCUCAUUGAAUAAAUAGAAUUACUAAAGCCGCACAUUCUUCUUCCUGUAGGUUGACCUAUUUCAACUCCAAGUAAACACGCUGCGCAGAUAUAAACGGCAUUAUAAACUACAAACUCGGCCAGGACUCAACAAGGCACAACUUGCAGAGGUAUGUUUGGCAUGGAAAGCGCAAGCACUGUAGCAGGGAUCACCAUUCUUGAUGGCAAAACUCUCUAAUCUCUCACAAUGAAAGGAGCACUAAAUACAAAUCUGUAUUCCUGACAGUAUAGUGUUUAAUUCGAUCCCUGCCUCCUUUUGCAUCUCACUUGAAAGAUGUCUUUACUCACCUUUUCUCUGAUGCAGUGCCGAUUUCGCCGCGUCUAGCUCUGCCUCAGUGGCUGAGAUCAUCAAUCAAGAGGCUGUUGAAUCAUUAGAGAUGUAACUAGCCAGCAAUGUAAACACUGCCUUUUCUUUUGAAAAGGUAUUGUUUACAUUAAAAGGCUUGCAGGGACUGUAGUCUGUGAUGGUUCUGGUUACUAUAGUGUUCCUUCAAAAUUGAUAAUUGAAUAAAACAGGGUUAUUUUACCUCCUUUAUCUUAAAAGGUUACUCCAAGCAUCAUAUCCACUACAGGCCACUGUAAUAGUUAUGAUGCUAGGAGUACCCUGGUCUGGUUUGCCCCAUUACCUGGAGCCCCGGUUUUAUGUUCCCUGGUACACCAGUGCUUUCAGUUGCUGCAGAAGCUGAAUAAGGCAACAAUUGCAAUUCAUUGACUGAGAGCACCAUGUGACUCCUCUCAGUCAAUGACUUAUUCUUAUAAAGGUUGCACAGAAUUAACAUUAGACCGAAAGAUUUUACUAUAUUCGGGGGUGGGGGAAAACCUAUAUGGUCGUUUUAACACUAUAGGGUCAGGAAUACAUGUUUGUGACCCUAUAGUGUUCCUUUAAUUGUGACUUCUGUAGAUUAAUUUAUUGGAAACGUUUUAUCCACAAAUAUUAAACACAUUUAAGUGUUGUUAUUAAAUGAUCCAUUCUUAAACUUCUAGACACUUUACUAUUGUUGGGCUGUGCUAGGGGACUCCUAACACUAUAGCAACUGCAUCAUGCUUGUAGUGGUUAUGGUUUUUAAAGUGUCUAUUUUUACUUAAAUAUAAACUGAUAUUCUUCACAGUGAAGAAAGGAAAUUGUCCCCAGCUUCCAUGAACUUGAAUGUGUAUUUAAUAAGUUUACUGUGGUGCACAGUUUCUGAAGAAAAUACAACUUGCAUCCUGAAGAAACAUUUAGAUGGUGCUGUAUGAGAUGUGUGAUUUCACUUGGCCUGUUUAACCCUAAUUCGUGUUGAUAACUCACCCCAAAUAUCCAUGCCUAAUUAAUUCCACAUAAAUAAAUGUCUCCUUUCUUUCAAUAGACAGUGAGUCGACACUUCCGAAACAUUCCAGUGAAUGAGAAGGAAACGUUGGCAUAUUUCAUCUACAUGGUAAAAAGCAAUCGAAGCCGGCUUGAUCAAAAAUCUGAAAGCAGCAAGCAGUUGGAUGCGUAGCCUGAACAGCUAUGGGACUGAGUCUGUAAACUUUUACAGACCGUUGAACUGUACUGUACAUAGGAAAUGUCGAGUGCGGCCAUAUUUUCAGCUGCAUAUUGUGCCAUAAAGGUGGAGUUGCCUCUUAAUAUCUCUGCCAAAGAAUCAGAAGGGCAAGCCCUUGUGUUUUUAUGAAUAAGGAAAACGAAGGCACUUUGGACUAUUUGUAUGUGACAGGAAUAAGGACACUGCCAGCAAUUCACUUCUCUUCGUAUACGAAGUCUCUACCUUUUUGAAAGCUAGAAAACCUUUAAAACUUUGUGAAACAAAUGGGUUACAACCUUGCCAUCAAGGAUUUGCAUUUCAGCAGCUUUGCGCUGCUUUCACCAUGUAAUAUCAGCGUGUGUAAUUCUCAGCAAUAAGGUGCUGUUUAAUCUGUGAUUGCUGUGGUAUCUCCAAGCAUUUUACCCCACACACACUUUUAAACCAUAUUUUACUAACCUGCAGGUGUCAUUUAAGUGUGUGAUGCAAAGUGUGUAUUCAGUGGAUGUUCAAUAGAGCCAUGUAUAAAACAAGCAGAGACCAAAUGUAUGCAGUUUACAUAUUUACCAUUAAGACUGUUUAAUUUUGCACUGAGGAGACACAAACUUCAAAUGUUUCUAUAAUUUUUACUUUUUCGAAGUUUGUUUUCAGACUCUUCCCACAUGACAAAAAUUAAUUCUGGGUGUACAUGAAAAUGUUUGAUCAAAUGAUCGUUUUGAAAUGAUAUGUUGAGUAUUGUAACAGGCAAAAGCUUUCGCACAAGGUUUGUACAUGUAGCGAUUUUUGUCAAAAGCAUACAAAUUUAGCAUGCCAAAUUUCAGCUUUCUAUUACAGCCCAACAAAUUUUAAACUGCUCCAUACCAUGACUACACAUACAUAGUCUGAAGUUGACCUCUAUUUUUUUUUUUUUUUUACUCAUUUUUAAUGUUUACUGUAUAGUCCCAAUGAAAUUUUUUAAAUUUUUUUUUUUUACGACCUGCAAAUAUAUGGCUUAGUGUAAAUAAGCAAUUUAGAAAAGAAAAUGCAUGCUGUCUCUCCAAAGAGCACUUGUAGGUUUUGUUUUUUGCCUGACGUGCUGUAUUUCUCUAUAAGUUUAUGUGCUGUGGAGCACAUGUUACAGUCCUGAUAUUAUUGUACAGAUGUAAUACAGGCAGGUUAGACUUAUUAUUUUUAUUUUACUUUUUUAAUACCAUGUUGUUGAAGUGCAAGGUGUAGUAACUCUUACUAACACUUUAUAAAACAUCCUUUUAUACAUCUCCUGUCUUUUUUUUAAGUUACCCUCUAUAUAUUUUAAAGUCAUUUUUACACUUUUUUUAUCUAUUUAUUGUAAAAAAGUAUAGACUUAAGUAAAAAAAAAAAAAAAA
rnacentral:lncRNA from 1 species